CCUACGGGGGGCAGCAGUGAGGAAUAUUGGUCAAUGGGCGCGAGCCUGAACCAGCCAAGUCGCGUGAGGGAAGACGGUCCUAUGGAUUGUAAACCUCUUUUGUCGGGGAGCAAAAGACGCCACGCGUGGCGUUCCGAGAGUACCCGAAGAAAAAGCAUCGGCUAACUCCGUGCCAGCAGCCGCGGUAAUACGUAGGGGGCAAGCGUUAUCCGGAUUUACUGGGUGUAAAGGGAGCGUAGACGGCGGGGCAAGUCUGGAGUGAAAGGCCGGGGCCCAACCCCGGGACCGCUCUGGAAACUGCCCGGCUGGAGUGCGGGAGAGGUAAGCGGAAUUCCUAGUGUAGCGGUGAAAUGCGUAGAUAUUAGGAGGAACACCAGCGGCGAAGGCGGCUUACUGGACCGUGACUGACGUUGAGGCUCGAAAGCGUGGGGAGCAAACAGGAUUAGAUACCCGGGUAGUC
rnacentral:rRNA from 1 species